rnacentral:lncRNA from 1 species
UCGGAGUUGAUUCUGCUGAGAACUUUGACUGUGGGUAUUUUAUACCCAACAUCAGUCCCCCUACUUUCGAGUUUGAAUUUCGAAUGAAGGAAGUACAGAGAGAUUGGUAUAGCCGAAGUUGUCCCCUCGAAUCCUACGCACGGCCGCCCCCAUACAUUUUGGCAUUAAAUGUGCGCGUGCUGGAGUCUUUUCGAAUCGGGGCGAUACGAAGGGACCCUUCGAAAUUCCCGCCAGUACACUGGCCUAGGUAUGGUGCCAUAAUGGCUCUGCCGAUUCGUCAGCCGCUUUUAGCCGCCCGUCGGGGGGAGUGGGACACGUGUCGGGUGCUGGCUGGCCUGGGGG